rnacentral:miRNA from 1 species
AGGUUGGUGCAAAAGUAAUUGCAGUUUUUGUCAUUACUUUCAAUAGGAAAACCUGCAAUUACUUUUGCACUAACCUAAUAU